CAGUAGCCACGGGAAUACGUAGGUGGCAAGCGUUGUCCGGAAUUAUUGGGCGUAAAGCGCGCGCAGGCGGAUCAGUCAGUCUGUCUUAAAAGUUCGGGGCUUAACCCCGUGAUGGGAUGGAAACUGCUGAUCUAGAGUAUCGGAGAGGAAAGUGGAAUUCCUAGUGUAGCGGUGAAAUGCGUAGAUAUUAGGAAGAACACCAGUGGCGAAGGCGACUUUCUGGACGAAAACUGACGCUGAGGCGCGAAAGCCAGGGGAGCGAACGGGAUUAGAGACCCCCGUAGUCCCUGUCUCUUAUACA
rnacentral:rRNA from 1 species